CCAAGCACUUCUUGCACUGUGCCAGACUUGGUGCUGUGACCACUUCCCUGGGGAGCCUGUUCCAGUGCCCAAACACCCUCUGGGUGAAGAACCUUUUCCUGAUACCCAAACUAAACCCGCUCUGACACAGCUUCAGGCCAUUCCCUCGGGUCCUGUCCCCGGCACACAAGAAAAUCCUGAGGGGAACCCAGGUACCAUCAGACCAGCAACGCACAGUACUGACAAUUUUGUCCCCCCGUUACCUUCUAUUUGGACUGCAGCUGCUGGACCCUGGACCUGGGCCUUGCAUCCUGUCUUCCAGAGCAGCUUUCCUAUCCUGCCUCUGUACUUGGAUGUAGUUGGUACAAAUGAGUGAUAUAUUUAGAAGGAUUCACCUAAGAGCCUGCUGAUGAGUUUCCCUGGCAUCCUCACAUCUCCAUGAUGUCAAGAUGAGCUGGCUCAACUGGCUUAGGCCUGGACAUUUAAGUAGGAGUCGCCAGCAGUUCCCAGUCUAAAUGACUCCAUGAAAUAAUUUUUCAACUUGCACACUUUUUGCUUUUUCUGCAAAGAGACAUGGAUCAGCCAAACAUCUUUGUCAUUUCAAAUUAUUCAGCAUCAGAGACUUUACAGAACAAAUAUGUUGUAAAUUUGCUUGGAAACUCAGCAACCAUCAUUUUAACUACUGAUUUCUUUGCUUCCAUUUCCUGCGGCAGUUGUGUGGUUGCAGGAAUAUAAUUUUUACUGCUGGGUUCCUGAGAGCUGUGAAGAAGUGUUUAAGGAUUCUGAGACUCUCAAUCUCUUCUACUGGUACAGAACACUUAUCAUAUAACAGGAAGAAUAAAAGUGAGCUCAUAAAAUGCUAA